rnacentral:siRNA from 1 species
GGGGCAAGAGCCAGGCCUCGAU